GGUCUAGUGGUAUGAUUCUCGCUUAGGGUGCGAGAGGUCCCGGGUUCAAUCCCCGGCCA
rnacentral:tRNA from 1 species